AAAUUGUAUUAGAACUUUGGCUUGAUCUAUUGCCUUCAAGAGUUAUGUUGAUGAUAUUUUUAGUAAGGCUUUCCACAUUAGAACUCUCUUUCGCAUAAACUAUGUAUAGAAAAACCAAACAUUAUAAACCAUUCAAAUUAUGAGAAGUUUACCAAAAUAAUUAUGAAAAAAAAUAAAACAAUAGUACCAUACCAUAUAACAAUAUAUUACCUCCUUUUCCAAAGACUCAAUCUCGUGUGCACAACAAAGUUUGAAUGUUUGCAAGCAUGCUCAAACCCAGAAACCUAAAAACCUCAGAAACUCCAAACCCAGAAAACCCCAGAAACCCCAAACCUAGAAAAUCCUCAGCCAUUAGUUUUACGAAAACCCCAAAUCACUAGUUUUUGAAAAAAUACACAGAAUACCCAAACAUACAAAAUCCAUACUUUUAGCGUGUGCUUGACUGUGUGUGAUUUUCUUGUGGCUACCGAAGUCAAGUUGAAGAUAGUGGACGGAGGAGGAUGCGAGAGAGAUGAGCGGAUUCGAGGAGAGCGUUGCAGAGUGUUGAAGUCUGGAGAGAUCAAGAGUGAAUGAGAGAGGAGGAUAGUCU
rnacentral:lncRNA from 1 species